AAAUUGAAGAGUUUGAUCAUGGCUCAGAUUGAACGCUGGCGGCAGGCCUAACACAUGCAAGUCGAACGGUAACAGGAAGCAGCUUGCUGCUUUGCUGACGAGUGGCGGACGGGUGAGUAAUGUCUGGGAAACUGCCUGAUGGAGGGGGAUAACUACUGGAAACGGUGGCUAAUACCGCAUAACGUCGCAAGACCAAAGAGGGGGACCUUCGGGCCUCUUGCCAUCAGAUGUGCCCAGAUGGGAUUAGCUAGUUGGUGAGGUAACGGCUCACCAAGGCGACGAUCCCUAGCUGGUCUGAGAGGAUGACCAGCCACACUGGAACUGAGACACGGUCCAGACUCCUACGGGAGGCAGCAGUGGGGAAUAUUGCACAAUGGGCGCAAGCCUGAUGCAGCCAUGCCGCGUGUAUGAAGAAGGCCUUCGGGUUGUAAAGUACUUUCAGCGGGGAGGAAGGUGUUGUGGUUAAUAACCGCAGCAAUUGACGUUACCCGCAGAAGAAGCACCGGCUAACUCCGUGCCAGCAGCCGCGGUAAUACGGAGGGUGCAAGCGUUAAUCGGAAUUACUGGGCGUAAAGCGCACGCAGGCGGUCUGUCAAGUCGGAUGUGAAAUCCCCGGGCUCAACCUGGGAACUGCAUUCGAAACUGGCAGGCUUGAGUCUUGUAGAGGGGGGUAGAAUUCCAGGUGUAGCGGUGAAAUGCGUAGAGAUCUGGAGGAAUACCGGUGGCGAAGGCGGCCCCCUGGACAAAGACUGACGCUCAGGUGC
rnacentral:rRNA from 1 species